rnacentral:rRNA from 1 species
UACGGAGGGUGCAAGCGUUAAUCGGAAUUACUGGGCGUAAAGCGCGCGUAGGUGGUUGUCUAAGCGAGAUGUGAAAGCCCCGGGCUCAACCUGGGAACUGCAUUUCGAACUGGGCGACUAGAGUACGAGAGAGGAUAGUGGAAUUUCCAGUGUAGCGGUGAAAUGCGUAGAGAUUGGAAGGAACACCAGUGGCGAAGGCGACUGUCUGGCUCGAUACUGACACUGAGGUGCGAAAGCGUGGGUAGCAAACAGG